ensembl:piRNA 21ur-2599 ncRNA
UAUCUCCUUCGUUCAGCUAAC